rnacentral:snRNA from 1 species
GUCCUUUCUUUGGCAGCACACAUACUAAAAUUGGAAUGAUAGAGAGAAAAUUAACAUGGCCUUUGUGCAAGUAUAACAUUCAAAUUUGUGAAGCAAUCCACAUUUUA